AGUGAACGCUGGCGGUAGGCCUAACACACGCAAGUCGAACGGCAGCACAGUAAGAGCUUGCUCUUACGGGUGGCGAGUGGCGGACGGGUGAGGAAUACAUCGGAAUCUACUUUUUCGUGGGGGAUAACGUAGGGAAACUUACGCUAAUACCGCAUACGACCUACGGGUGAAAGCAGGGGAUCUUCGCACCUUGCGCGAUUGAAUGAGCCGAUGUCGGAUUAGCUAGUUGGCGGGGUAAAGGCCCACCAAGGCGACGAUCCGUAGCUGGUCUGAGAGGAUGAUCAGCGACACUGGAACUGAGACACGGUCAAGACGCCUACGGGAGGCAGCAGUGGGGAAUAUUGGACAAUGGGCGCAAGCAUGAUCCAGCCAUACCGCGUGGGUGAAGAAGGCCUUCGGGUUGUAAAGCCCUUUUGUUGGGAAAGAAAAGCAGCAGGUUAAUACCCCGCUGUUCUGACGGUACCCAAAGAAUAAGCACCGGCUAACUUCGUG
rnacentral:rRNA from 1 species